rnacentral:misc_RNA from 1 species
GAUGAUUGCAGGCAGGAGCAUCUUGCUGUGCAACUUAUUUCUCAUUUUUAUGGUAGGUGCCUAUAGAUAAUAUUGGUCUUAUUGGCUAAUUGUUCAAUAUUUUUAUUUUGAAAGUAAUCUUCGUUUUGCUGCAUCCUCUUACUAAAAAGGGUGCAAAAAUUGUGAUAUUGUUUGUUCUUGAGGACUUGUAAGGAAGUUGUGUAUAAGGUUGAUCAAUAAAAUUUUUGAACUAUAUUAGUGAGAUGCAUGUUUAUGUUUGCAUGCAUGCUAGCUGAUCCAUUGAUUAAUAUGUAGCAUUGGGUGAACUACCUUUCGCAAUAGCUUAAUGAUGAAUAACUCCUGUGAUAAAAUUUAUUGUGAAAUUGUUAUCUGUUUUGAGUUUUUGAGUUCUGACCCAUGUGACAAGAUCCAUUUAAAAGCUUUAAUAGCUUUUUCCUGUUUAAACUAAAUUUAUCGCUUUUUAUUUUGAGAAGAUAAAGGAGGCUGAAAAUUCUCUUCUACUAAUGUAAUCAACAAGCAGGAAAUGGUAUGUAACUGUUGAAUUGAUAUUUUGUGGAAUGUUAAUCUCAUAAUGCUAAGCCGUUUUAUGUGACGCAUUUGGGCUGUGUACAAUUUUCGAAAAAUCCUCUCAUAUCAGUUAUAUUACUUUUGAGUUUGGAGGCAUUCGCACCUAAUUGUAUCCUCUUCUUUUAACCUCAUUCAUAUGUGAAUCUCUAAAGUAUUAUGGGCAGAUUCUAGGUUUAACAUAUGGGUUCUACUUUGAUUUGGAAUGAACUUUUAGGUUGCGGGGAUGAUUGUUAUUAUAGGCAAUGUAAGAGUGCUUCUCCAUUCUUUGGCAUGCAUUUAUGCACAGGGAUACAUGAAAUUGUGAUUUUACAGUUGCGUCUCCUUUUUAUAUUUAAAUUUCUGAUUAUUUGAAAUGGCAACUAGCAGGUUCUUUUAAAUUGAACUUUUCCUCGUCUUCUUGUUUUAUGGUGACAACAAACUGUUGAUAAAAUUGCUUCAAUUUGUCUAAACAGAAGUUAUUCAACUUGUAUAUGUGGCAGAUAAAUAAAUUGCUCAUGGAGUC